AAGCCUCCGGAGGCUUCAGGUUGCCUUCACUGAAGCCUGGAGAGCAAGACUCUCCUGGCUUCAGGGAUAGCCGCCUGAAGCCUCCGGAGC